rnacentral:rRNA from 1 species
GACGAACGCUGGCGGCGUGCCUAAUACAUGCAAGUAGAACGCUGAAGAGAGGAGCUUGCUCUUCUUGGAUGAGUUGCGAACGGGUGAGUAACGCGUAGGUAACCUGCCUGGUAGCGGGGGAUAACUAUUGGAAACGAUAGCUAAUACCGCAUGAUAUUAAUUGUCGCAUGAUAAUUAAUUGAAAGAUGCAAUUGCAUCACUACCAGAUGGACCUGCGUUGUAUUAGCUAGUUGGUGAGGUAACGGCUCACCAAGGCGACGAUACAUAGCCGACCUGAGAGGGUGAUCGGCCACACUGGGACUGAGACACGGCCCAGACUCCUACGGGAGGCAGCAGUAGGGAAUCUUCGGCAAUGGGGGGAACCCUGACCGAGCAACGCCGCGUGAGUGAAGAAGGUUUUCGGAUCGUAAAGCUCUGUUGUAAGAGAAGAACGGGUGUGAGAGUGGAAAGUUCACACUGU